rnacentral:lncRNA from 12 species
GUUCUAUCACCCUUCCAUUGCCUGGCUUGGAUCAAUCCAGAAGCUGACAGUAGGCCACCUUUAGAAAAAUGGUGUUUCUUUCCUCUGUCUCCUGUACAGCUUGAAGGUCCACACCCUCGUGAUCUAAGGCUCUUUUGGAGGUUGUGUUUUUGAAAGCAUCGUGUGCUACAGCUCCUGUGCUCAGCCAGGCAUGUGACUAAAUAUUAUUUGGGAUUGGAAAGGGGCUCCACUUUUUUGUCUUUCUUUCUUUGCCUGGAUACUGUGAAUGAGAGUAGCUUUUAUGAAGGCUUGGUUACGUUGUGUCAUUUCAACUCCUGUGUCUCUGACUUCUCUGCCCUACUCCAUCAAUGGAUUCCAGCCUGAACCUGGCCUCAGUCACCUUCCCUUAAGGUGAGAGAAAAAUUCAAUGCCAGUCUGCAGAGGUGGGAAAAAAUAAAAUAAUAAAACCCCAACA